GAUGAAGAACGUAGCGAAAUGCGAUAAGUAAUGUGAAUUGCAGAAUUCAGUGAAUCAUCGAAUCUUUGAACGCACAUUGCGCCCCUUGGUAUUCCGGGGGGCAUGCCUGUUCGAGCGUCAUUAUAACCCCUCAAGCUCAGCUUGGUGUUGGGGCCUGCCGACUGGCAGCCCUUAAAAUCAGUGGCGGCGCCAUCUGGCUCUAAGCGUAGUAAUUCUUCUCGCUAUGGAGUCCUGGUGGAUGCUUGCCAUCAACCCCCAAUUUUUCUAUGGUUGACCUCGGAUCAGGUAGGGAUACCCGCUGAACUUAAGCAUAUCAAUAAGCGGAGGA
rnacentral:misc_RNA from 1 species